rnacentral:lncRNA from 1 species
UAUAUAUAGUAGAGUUACUAUACUCUUAUGAGUAUAGAGCCCUUCGUACUCAUAAAUUAUUUUCGAUGUUGGGGCUUUCGAAUCGACGAUCCAUAUUGUUAAAUAUGAUCUAGGAUAUUUGAACUUUUUAGAAAAUAAAAUUCGUAAUUUUUCAAAAUUAUUAUAAAGUCCAUCAAGCGGGUAUAAAAUGAAUGGUUAAAAUCGAACAACAUCCUAAAAAUGGAUGAUCGGAUUCUUAAAUUUAAGAUCGGAGUUAUUGAUCUUUAUUUAGGUAGUGAAUAGAAUUUUUUAUCAAAAAUUCAACCUAUUAUGAUUCUUUUAUAUCGUUAAACUAGCAAAUAUUUCAUACUGGCCGUUAAAAAUUGUCAAUUUUGUGAGCUUUUGAUCGUAAGGUAAAUGAUAUUGAAAAAUUAUAAAAUUUGAUUUGUAGAAGUUUUAAAUGUUCUAGAAAAUGUUUAACGGUAUGGAUCGUCAAUUCGGAAACUCUAUCAUCAAAAAUAACUUAUGAGUACGAAGGCGAUCGUACUCAUAAGAGUAUAGUAGCCUGACUCUCUCCCUCUCUCUCUCUCUCUUUAUAUAUAUAUAUAUAUGAGCUACGCUGGUAUACUAUCGGUAGCACAGAGGCCUCCGUGCUAUCAAAUUAUUUUCAAUGAUAUAGCUUUCAAAUCAACGAUCAGCUUUGUUAGACUUGAUCUACAAUAUACAAAUAUUUAGAAGCUAAAUUUAAUAAUUUUUCAACAUUACUUACCUAUCAAACGAGUAGUCUAAAAAUAAACGGCUGAAAAUAAAAAUUUUAUAAAAAAUAAUGAUUAAAAUCUUGAAUUUAAGAUAAGAGAUACUGAUCUUACUCUAAUAGUAAAAAAAAAAUUAUAAAAAUUUCAUCAGAUUUUGAUUGUUUUACACCGUUAAAUUUACAAAUGCAUCAUAUUGACCAUUAAAAUUGUCAAUUUUGAAACCUUCUGAUCACUAGCCAAAUGAUGCCGAAAAAUUAUAAAAUUUAGUUUUCAAAUACUUUUAAUAGUAUAGAUCAAGUCUAACGGAGUUGAUCGUUGAUUUGGAAGCCGCAUCAUUUAAAACAACGUACUAGCACUGAGGCCUCCGUACUACCAAUUGUAUACCAGGCUAGCUCAUAUAUAUAUAUAUAUACAAGAGCUCUAUACUCAUAAGAGUAUAGUAGCCCUACUAUAUAUCAGCCCGGCUACUAUACUCUUAUGACUACGAUCGCUUUCGUACUCAUAAGUUGUUUUCGUUGAUAGGGCUUCCGAAUCGACGAUCCAUACCGUUAAACAUUAUCUAGAGCAUUUAAAACUUCUAAAAAUCAAAAUUUGUAAUUUUUCGAUAUCAUUUAUCUUACGAUCAAAAGCUCACAAAAUUGAUAAUUUUUAACAGCCGAUAUUAGAUAUUUGCUAGUUUAACGGUGAAAAAGAAUCGGAAUAGGUUGAAUUUUUGAUAGAAAAUUCUAUUCACUACCUAACUAAAGAUCAACAACUUCGAUCUUAAAUUGAAGGAUCCGAUCAUCUAUUUU